rnacentral:rRNA from 1 species
CCCCUAGAUGUUCUGGGCCGCACGCGCGCUACACUGAACAGUUCAACAAGUCUUAACCUUGGCCGAUAGGUCUGGGUAAUCUUUGAACGCUGUUCGUGAUUGGGAUAGACCUUUGCAAUUAUGGGUCUUCAACGAGGAAUUCCUAGUAAACGCAAGUCAUCAGCUUGCAUUGAUUACGUCCCUGCCCUUUGUACACACCGCCCGUCGCACCUACCGAUUGAAUGGUCCGGUGAAAUCUCGGGACGGCGGCUUGGUCGCUUGCGUCCGACUGCUGAAACUUGAUUAAACCAUAUCAUUUAGAGGAAGGUGAANUCGUAACC